UGGAAGACAAGAGGCCAUUUGUUUCCGUACAUCAAUCACCAUGGACCCGAGAUCUCAGGGUAUGUUCAUCAGAAGGGAGGCUGCACGAGCCCUGCUCCUAAAUUCUUGGAGAACACUCAAACAAGUCAGCUAACUGCAAGAGCCCAAUUUAUCAGACUCAAUGGUGGAUAGAGGUGUGAAGAAAAACCCAGAUGUCUUCCAAUGAGUAUGAGAAAUUCAUCACUGGGGAGGACUCCAGGAGGCAAUUCAGCAUCCACCCAAGUUCUAACCCAGACAAGGAGACAUUUCAGUGACCUGUGAGAAAAGAGAGAGCGGGAUGUGGGUAAUUAGCACGACUGCAUGGAACAAGUCACCAUCCUGCAAAGGGAAGCUGAGAGGCUGAGUCAGCUCUGGACAAGAAUAGGAAGAGAGCAGCAGGGCUGUGAGCACAUGUGGGGAGCAGCCACCCGUGACAGAUCGGGGCCUCACCGCUCACAGAGAUGCAGAUGGGGAGAAAGGGAACUAUUGCACCGAACACCUGUCCAGCAAUCUGGAGCCACAGCAAAGGUGCUCUAACAGCCCUGAGGAACAGUGGACACAGCCCAGAUUGUGGACACAGCCAACAAGGGAUGCCACAGUUUAAUUAUGAUCGUGAUUGCAGGCGAUGAGCAGAAAACUCAUUCUCACCUGUCCUUUGCUCACUGCAUGGUAAGCGGAAGUUGUUGCUUCACAGCUGUCAGCAGAUGCCUUUGGAGUUAGACGGAUGGGUUCAAAUUCCAGGUCUGCUGCUGGUUGCCUUUAUGAUUUGUGGUAAACUAUUUAAGUUCUUGGAGCUACAAUUUCCUCACCUGAAAAAUGGGGAUGAUAAUAACGCCUGCUUUACAAGCGGGUUGUAAAGAAGAUCGCAUGGAAGUCGUGUAAGAAAAAUGUCUGUCAUUGCUCUGGAAUAUUGCUGAUUAUUAGAACCCUUGAUCUUGACUUUCCAAGUAAAGGGGGAAAUAUUGUACAGUGAAUAAGAUUAGCUUACUCACUGGGACUAAAUCUUCAACCCCACACUUAAGAUGUCACUUAACCUUCCUGUAUCUAUCAAGUGAGAAUCAUUUUGUUUCACCCCUUCAGAGAUUUGGCGAAUCUUAACCUUAGGUCUAGCUGGACUCCCUUUGCUCUGUAACACCAAGAUGUCUAGCUCCAGAAGAUGGGAGGGACCGCAGAAUUUUCAUCUGGGCUUAGGACUGGUCUGACUCUGUUUCUAAGAUGAAUUCAGAGAUUUUCCAUUGUUGAUGUGAAAUUGAGCUCCUCUUCAAAAGGUCGCAUUAUAAACAUCUGCUACUACUA